GGUGAGCGAGUAUACUAGAUGGCUUAUAUGCAUUGUAGUUAUUUGCAUUUCUUAGCAACCUAGCUAUACUAUCAGUUCUAGUGAUGCAAUCUAAGUCUCCUACAGUCCUAGCAAUCAUGGAAGCACCAUAAGAAUAACCAUUGAUGUUACCGUUAUCCUUGAACAUCUUGAUGAGUGCAUCAAUGUCAGCCUUCCUUAUGAAGUCCUGAUCAUUGUUGCGGCUGCUAGGAGCUCCCAUGU
rnacentral:lncRNA from 1 species